rnacentral:rRNA from 1 species
GAUGAACGCUGGCGGCGUGCCUAAUACAUGCAAGUCGAGCGAACAGAUGAUGAUCUUUCUCCUCUUACGUUAUCGGCUGACGUGUGAUUAACACUUGUAUAACCUACCUAUAUUACUGGUAUAACUUCGGGAAACCGGAUCUAAUACCGGAUAAUAUAUUGAACCGCAUGGUUCAAUAGUUAAAUCCGUUUUUUCUGUCUCUUAUAGAUGGUUCCUCGCCGCAUUAUCUAGUUGGUAAGGUAACGGCUUACCAAGGCAACGAUGCGUAGCCGACCUGAGAGGGGGAUCGGCGACACUGGAAGUGAGAAACGGAAAAGAGGACGACGGGAGGAAGCAGUAGGGAAUAGUAGGCAAUGGGCGAAAGCAUGACGGAGAAAAGCCGAGGGAGAGAUGAAGGUAUUCGGAGCGUAAAAAUAUGUUAUUAGGGAAGAAAAAAUGUGUAAGUAAAUAUGAACGGAGUGACGGUAAAGAAAAAGAAAGCAACGGCUAACUACGUG